GUGCUGCUCGUUCGGCAGCACAUAUACUAAAAUUGAAACGAUACACAGAAGAUUAGCAUGGCCUCUGCGCAAGAAUGACACGUAAAUUCGUGAAGUGUUCCAUAUUUUU
ensembl:snRNA U6 U6 spliceosomal RNA